AGACAGCUCGCUCGCUUAGUCAGUAAAGUUUUCCUGAGCAUCUAUUAUGUGACCAGUGACAUCCCAGACACUGAGAAUUUACCAAGAAACACUCAAACCGACAAGAAAUGCCCUACUCUGAUGGAACUUUGGUGCUAAUGGAGAAGAUAGGAGUCGAAUAAUCGAGUUAGGGGUUGUCAGUUUUGAAGAGGGCUGCAGAGGACCUGGUGGCAGAUGCUGCUAAGACACUGCCUCACCGCCGCUGGCACUCCUGAGAGCGGUCAGGCUCCACCUGGAUGCUAAGCAGACCAGUCGUCAUCACCAGCUCACCAGCACGACUCUAGAUGAGGGAAUAAGGGCGCAGAGAGGUGAGCAUUAGAGCCCGCCAUCACUGAGGACUGAGCCAGCAUCCUGACACCAAGACCCUGCCUUCACCUCUGCACUCUGACCCUUCGAUCUGCGAGCUCAGUGAAAGGCAUUAUUACCCCAGCAAAUGAGAAAACAAAGACAAUGAGA